AGCGUUGCUCGGAAUUACUGGGCGUAAAGGGCGCGUAGGCGGCACUGUUAGUCAGGCGUGAAAUUCCUGGGCUCAACCUGGGGACUGCGCUUGAUACGGCAGAGCUAGAGGAUGGAAGAGGCUCGCGGAAUUCCCAGUGUAGAGGUGAAAUUCGUAGAUAUUGGGAAGAACACCGGUGGCGAAGGCGGCGAGCUGGUCCAUUACUGACGCUGAGGCGCGACAGCGUGGGGAGCAAACAGG
rnacentral:rRNA from 1 species